YUUUCCCUACGGGAGGCAGCAGUGGGGAAUCUUGCGCAAUGGGCGAAAGCCUGACGCAGCCAUGCCGCGUGAAUGAUGAAGGUCUUAGGAUUGUAAAAUUCUUUCACCGGGGACGAUAAUGACGGUACCCGGAGAAGAAGCCCCGGCUAACUUCGUGCCAGCAGCCGCGGUAAUACGAAGGGGGCUAGCGUUGCUCGGAAUUACUGGGCGUAAAGGGAGCGUAGGCGGACAUUUAAGUCAGGGGUGAAAUCCCAGAGCUCAACUCUGGAACUGCCUUUGAUACUGGGUGUCUUGAGUGUGAUAGAGGUAUGUGGAACUCCGAGUGUAGAGGUGAAAUUCGUAGAUAUUCGGAAGAACACCAGUGGCGAAGGCGACAUACUGGAUCAUUACUGACGCUGAGGCUCGAAAGCGUGGGGAGCAAACAGGAUUAGAUACCCUGGUAGUCCACGCCGUAAACGAUGAUUGCUAGUUGUCGGGAUGUUUACAUCUCGGUGACGCAGCUAACGCAUUAAGCAAUCCGCCUGGGGAGUACGGUCGCAAGAUUAAAACUCAAAGGAAUUGACGGGGGGG
rnacentral:rRNA from 1 species